rnacentral:lncRNA from 10 species
CUAGUGACCACACUGAGAAAACACUUAGAUGGACCGAUGGGUGUGAAUCCCUUGAGAGCAAGGCUGCAUCUUCUCUCUUGCACUUGCCAGCAUCUGGCACAGCUGGGUAUUAAUCACACAAGACACAACUCCAGCGGUGGCGGCCCUGGAUGUCUGAAAUGCUGUCCAGAACAUUGAGAGAAAGCCAAAGAAGGAAAGCUGCCCUCAAACAUGCCCAGGAUCUUGCUGGAGAUGGAAACUAACAAGGAUGGAAACAUGACAGCAGAAAAAUACAGACCAGUUUGAAGUCUGCCCACCUGGGAGUCAAGCCACAUUGAAAAUCAAUAAGGCAUCAAGGCCGGGAGCUCGGAGAGCCGACUGGAUACCUGCGUGGGCCUCCUUUAAAGAGGUGAAAGCUUUGAAGUUGCAGACGACCAAUAAAAAUACAGCUGGCAUUUACAGCUUCAACUCCUCCUGCUUUUGCUUUUCACCGUGUUGCUAAAGCUGCCUACAAAGCUGCUCCAGGCCGGACUCUUGGCCCAGGUUGACAGAGCCCAUUCCCAUUCCAUGGACAAUAACAGGGGCUCUUGGUGUCCUCUGGCCAGGGAUUGGUGAUCAACUUUAGGCACGCUGGCAAUUUCCCAGGACAACCCCGUCUUAGGUUCUGAACAUCAGAGGCAAUGGCUAAGGUCCCCCAAAGCACUUUGGAAUGAGCCCAGGAAGUUGACCUUUGAAGCACUCUCCUGCUCUUGGGGCCAUGUCAUCAGGAAGAAACUCCAGGCUGAAAACACAACUGCAAGGCCAACAGGCAGGGGAGCAGCUUUCUCAGGACACCUGAGGUCCUGCCCCACCAGGCUCUGGUCUUUACACACCAUCUCUCACUGUCCUCUAGCCCCAACUGCACAUUGCCUUCCUCCUUCCUGAGCUCAUGCUUGCCCCUCCCUCGGCAUCUCCCUAGCCCCAGCCUGAAGGCUGACCUCCUCCAGAAAGCCUCUCCCUCACCACGAGGCCAGAAAGAGUCUGUCCUGUCUCUAGCUUCUGAGUUUCUUAGUCCCAACGACUGUCCCUGCUCCACUGACACCUUCCAUACACAGCUUUGUGAGCUGUGCGCAUCUGUGGGUACCAGAGGGUCACUGGUGACACCCUGCUCAGCCACAGCACCAGAGAGGAGAGAAAACACCACAACAGUCUUCAUAGAACUAAAAGACUUCCUAGAGCGCGCUUGCCCUUUGUUUCUAUAGCUGCUGCUACGUGGAUAAGAGUCACUAGUUCAGCUCAUAUUCAGGACCAACAGAACACUUCCAAAGGUGGCUCACCUCAGAGACUGGGACUCCAGAGGUCAGCGUGCCUCUGUCUAGCUGUGCUUUCUAGUGAACACGUUACUUCACCUCCCCUGGGCUCAGUCUUGUCACUUUGGCAAUGAGGGCAUUUGGCGGCAUUCUCUGAAGCCACCCUACCCCCUUCAAUGGUCUGGAACCUUAGCAGCACAUUUGAAUCAUCUGAGGAGCUUUUUUAAAAUACCACGGCCUGGGCUCUGCCCCGAGAGGUUCUGAUCUAAUUGGUCUGGGAUAGAACCUCAGGUGGUUCUCAUGUGCGGGCAAGCUGGAGGACCCCUACACUAGUUGUUAUGAGGAUUUUAUUCAGCAAACAUCAAACCCCACAUGGAGUGGUCCAGGGGCCAGAACCUAGACAUUCAAGAGGGAGUUCCUGUGAGUUUAACUUCCUCUCCUGGAAUAAAAAUUUUAAGAACUCAAAAAGCACAAAAGUUGAUUUUUGGGGGGGGUCUCUUUUCAAAUUAUGACCCUAAAGUUAGGCCGCCAUCAGUCAUAUAUAGGUCAGAAGGGGGCCCAGUCCUGACUUGGAUGUUAGAUGAGUUUAUUGGCCACAGAGAGACUAAAUCUUAAAGGACCCCCUUGGCAGAAGGAAUCAGCAGCCAGCGUGGCCACUCGACUGCCUGACCCAGACCCCCAAGGUGAAGAGGCCCUUUGAGCCUCCAUGCAGCAGCCCUGCCAGGAGGCACCACUGUGAUGUAUCACUGUGGUCAACCAUCCCUCCAAGCCUCAGGGCAGCCUUUGAACUGGGUUGCCCUGCCCACAGUGUGAAGCCAGUGCUCUGAACAGGCAUGUCGGAGAAUACUGCCAGAAAGUCACUCCUCGGGACCAAGUAGGGAAGGGCCUUAACGAGCAGCAAAAAGUUAUCCUUCAAUGUGUUUAAAAGAAAUCCUGUGUUAACCCUUUUAAGGAUACUAAAUGGCAGAUGUUGGUGCUUGAAGAGGCCUGGCCCAAACCCUCCCCACAAGCAGAAUAGGUUCUCUCAUCCCCAUGUUACCUCUACAGUAAAAACCCAGAGGAAGAGCUGAUCAUGUGCUGCCCACCUGGUCUACUCCAGUGAAACAGGAUCAUUUCUAAUUAGCCAGACUCUAAACAAAUGGGUACAAUUGACAUGCUGGGAACAUUUUUGUUUAAGUGAUAAUGAAAAUAUUUUCCCUUUAUUACGUGCUUGACUCGGAUGUGUGGCACAGGAUGGCACUUCAUAACCGCUUGAGAAAGUGAGGCAGGUAUUCAUGUCACUAUUUUACAGAUUAGGCACCCAGCAUAAGUUAAUGCCAGGGCAAGACCGUUUGUAAGCCAGGUCUCCUGGCUUAUCCCCUCCUCAUGUUACUGUAAUUCUCUCUCCAGCUGCAAUCAAGCUUACAUUAUCUGUGUGCUCACCAAUUUUAUUUUUAAUUUAAAGGCAUAUGUUGUGUUCCCAAUUAUAAUUAAAAAAUUUAAAAGUAUAUUAUGUUUAAAGUAUGAACCCAAGUCUGAAAAAGUGUAAGUUAUACUCAUAUAGAAUAAAAUAACCAAAAUAAAAUACAUCAAAAUAUUAACCAUGGU